rnacentral:rRNA from 1 species
AUUGAACGCUGGCGGCAUGCUUUACACAUGCCAGUCGGACGAGUGGCGAACGGGUGAGUAACAUAUCGGAACGUACCGAGUAAUGGGGGAUAACUAAUCGAAAGAUUAGCUAAUACCGCAUAUUAUUCGAGCGGCCGAUAUCUGAUUAGCGGGUUGGUGGGGGAAAGGCGAACCAAGGCGAAGAUCAGUAGCGGGUCUGAGAGGAUGAGCAGCCACACUGGGACGGAGACACGGCCCCGACUCCUACGGGAGGCAGAAGUGGGGAAUUUUGGACAAUGGGAGCAAGCCGGAUCCAGCCAUGCCGCGUGUAUGAAGAAGGCCUUCGGGUUGUAAAGGACUUUUGUCAGGGAAGCGGUACCUGAAGAAUAAGCCACGGCUAACUACGUGCCAGCAGCCGCGGUAAUUC